rnacentral:RNase_P_RNA from 1 species
GAAGUUGGUUGGGCAGUCGCCCCGAUACUGAUUUAGUUUAUCGGGGAGGAAAGUCCGAACUCCGUAGGGCAAGGUGCUCCAUAACCAGGAGUCAUUAUGAUUGAAGGAAAGUGCCACAGAAACUAUACCGUCCCAUCUCGAUCUUUCGGGAUUGGGUCAAGGGUGAAAUGGUGCGUCCUGCAAUUAAGCGGGAUUAAAGUAAGAGCGCACCGUCCCGACAGUGAUGUCGGGGGCAGGGUAAACCCCACCUGGAGCAAGAUUAAGCAGGGAAUAUGGAUUGCCCGUCCUGCAAAGUUCCCGGGUAGAUCGCUUAACUUCAGCCGCAAGGCUGAAUGUAGAUAAAUGGCUGCCAUCCGCCAACUGGCGGAUACAGAAUUCGGCUUAUAGACCAACUUCAGAA